GGGUCAGUAGGUUGGUCGUGCCACCGGUACGUACUGGUCUCACUGAUUCCUCCUUCCUGAGGAACCGUAAUGCCAUUAAUUUGGUGUUGCGGGGAAACAGGACUGUUACUUUGAAAAAAUUAGAGUGUUUAAAGCAGGCUAACGCUUGAAUACAUUAGCAUGGAAUAAUGAAAUAGGACGAUCGAUCCUAUUUUGUUGGUUUCUAGGAUUGACGUA
rnacentral:rRNA from 1 species